rnacentral:rRNA from 1 species
UUGUUGCGGUUAAAAAGCUCGUAGUUGGAUUUCUGUUGAGGAUGACCGGUCCGCUCUUUGAGCGCGUAUCUGGUUCAGCCUUGGCAUCCUCUUGGGGAACGCUACUGUGCUUGAUUGCAUGGGGCGGUAUUCAAGACUUUUACUUUGAGGAAAUUAGAGCGUUCACGGCAAGCUAUCGCUUUGAAUAUAUUAGCAUGGAAUAAUAAUAUAGGACCUUGGUACUAUUUUGUUGGUUUCUAGAACUAAGGUAAUGAUUAAUAGGGAUAAUUGGGGGCAUUCGUAUUAACGCGUCAGAGGUGGAAUUCUUGGAUUGCGUUACGACGAACUAACUGCGAAAGCAUUUGCCAAGGAUGUUUUCAUUGAUCCAGAACGAAAGUUAGGGGAUCGA